GGAUGUGAGGGCAAUCUGGCUGCGACAUCUGUCACCCCAUUGAUCGCUGGGGUUGAUUCGGCUGAUCUGGCUGGCUAGGCAGGUGUGCCCUUCCUCCCUCACCGCUCCAUGUGCGUCCCUCCCGAAGCUGCGCGCUCGGUCGAAGAGGACGACCAUCCCCGAUAGAGGAGGACCGGUCUUCGGUCAAGGGUAUACGAGUAGCUGCGCUCCCCUGCUAGAACCUCCAAACAAGAUGUCAAUUGAUUACAUAAAACUGUGAAAUAACUUUUAUCACUAAAAAGGCAUUAAAAAAAAAUUGAGACAGGGUCUCAAUAUGUU
rnacentral:snRNA from 10 species